GUGUGUGUGUGUGUGUGUGUGUGUGUGUGUGUGUGUGUGUGUGUGUGUGUGUGUGUGUGUGUGUGUGUGUGUGUGUGUGUGUGUGUGUGUGUGUGUGUGUGUGUGUGUGUGUGUGUGUGUGUGUGUGUGUGUGUGUGUGUGUGUGUGUGCUGUGGUGUGUCCGCAGGUGGACAUCUGGUCUCUGGGCAUCAUGGUGAUCGAGAUGGUGGACGGAGAGCCGCCGUACUUCAACGAGCCUCCGCUGCAGGCCAUGAGACGGAUACGAGACAACCUGCCUCCGCGACUCAAGGACUCUCACAAGGUGUCGUCGGUUCUGCGGGUGUUUCUGGACCUGAUGCUGGUGCGAGAGCCAUCCCAGCGAGCCUCGGCGCUGGAGCUGCUGCAGCACCCGUUCCUGAAGCUGUCGGGCCCCCCGUCCUGCAUCGUUCCUCUGAUGCGGCACUACCGACCCCGCUGAGAGCCGCCGAGAGCCGCGAGCGCCGCGUUUAGAGUCACACAAGCGCUUUCAUUCAGAACGGAUCGUCUAGGGGCCCGCUGGCGUCUCCUCCCUCCGCUACGGUCCGGUCCCGCGCCGAUCAGACGUCUCUCUCACACUCGUCUUCUCACGCUAACUAUGAAGAUGUAUUUUAGAGCAAUUGUCGUGUCCGCUCACACCAGAGUUUUCUUUCUGGUUUUCUGUAGUGUGGCCUUUUCACGUUCAUUCUCACGCGCGGCUGGACUCAUCCGAUCUGUUGGGCACAGUCCUCUCGUGGCGUCUCACCCGUGUCUCACCUGUGUUUCUGUAGGACUCUUCAGAUCCGCUGUCGCGUCGCUUCUGUACGGUGAUCCUGCAUGUGUGUCACUAAGAGCUGCUUUCAAUAAACAGAUGCGUCACGUCGUCCUGUUCAUGUGUCUCAGGAGGAUGUUUGAGUUCUAA
rnacentral:lncRNA from 12 species